AUGAACGCUGGCGGCGUGCCUAAUACAUGCAAGUCGAGCGAACGGACGAGAAGCUUGCUUCUCUGAUGUUAGCGGCGGACGGGUGAGUAACACGUGGAUAACCUACCUAUAAGACUGGGAUAACUUCGGGAAACCGGAGCUAAUACCGGGUAAUAUUUUGAACCGCAUGGUUCAAAAGUGAAAGACGGUCUUGCUGUCACUUAUAGAUGGAUCCGCGCUGCAUUAGCUAGUUGGUAAGGUAACGGCUUACCAAGGCAACGAUGCAUAGCCGACCUGAGAGGGUGAUCGGCCACACUGGAACUGAGACACGGUCCAGACUCCUACGGGAGGCAGCAGUAGGGAAUCUUCCGCAAUGGGCGAAAGCCUGACGGAGCAACGCCGCGUGAGUGAUGAAGGUCUUCGGAUCGUAAAACUCUGUUAUUAGGGAAGAACAUAUGUGUAAGUAACUGUGCACAUCUUGACGGUACCUAAUCAGAAAGCCACGGCUAACUACGUG
rnacentral:rRNA from 1 species